AUUCAGUGAAUCAUCGAAUCUUUGAACGCACAUUGCGCCCCCUGGUAUUCCGGGGGGCAUGCCUGUUCGAGCGUCAUUU
rnacentral:rRNA from 1 species